UAGGAGUUUUCAAUGAUCGGAUAAGGCAGUUUGUGCAGUGUUGUGUGCUAGCCUAUCAUGUUUUCCCUACAUUCAAAGCACUUUUCAAAAUUGCCCAAUAUGUGCAUGGGUUUAUUUGAAUUAAAGGGAGGCAAAAAGGAUCAGCUUGCAGUGACACCUUUCGUAAGGAAAAUUUCCAUGGUAUUUUUUUUUUGGCCUGGGGGUGUGGGGAUAAUGUCACGGUGACGCGUAAUGAAGCCUGGACUACUGACACUCAACACACACGCGGGCUACGUGCUGCCCCCGAGUCCACUUUUCGGACGGCCUAUCAAGAUAGCAACACAGAACGCCGUUGCCAUUAUACCGACAGCUGACGUGACAUUUGAUCCCUGUCAACAGCUGACAUUACUUCACGGUUGACACACAUCUGGCCACCAACCAAAAAACCCCGAGUUCCAUUUUGCAGUGUCUCUUCUGCAUGGUCCAGGGCCUCCAUGGUGUGGAGGGGCAGCUCCAAGGGCUCCGCCAGCGGCAGUCCCACAGAGUUAGACUGUCCACACCUGCAGGACUGACGGAAUUGCCUGAACUCCUCCCGCAGGUCCUUCACCUCCUUUGUUAACUCUGUCACUGCAGAGAUGGCCUCUGGAGUAGAUGCACUGGAGUGAGUGGAGAGAAGGCCAAUUCAUCUCCAGGGAACGAUGCUGGGACAUUGGGGCAAGACAACUUGGAGGAAUUGGGGCGUUGGAGGGUCUGAUAGAUCCUUGGAGGUGAUGGUUGGCUGUCCUGACUGGCUUGUUGGGUUGCUGGUUUGUUUAAAGAAAAAAAAGAUGUGGGGGGGAGGUGGUUAGGGGCAGAUGUGCGUAAUACGUAAUUAGAUUCUCUAUUCUCUGCAAAAGCUUACUUGAUUAUGUACACACACACACACACACCACAAUGUGGCUAACUAUACCUGGAAAUAACACUUUGGGGGCUUGGGCGAAUCUGCGGUCAUUCUGGGGCUCCUUAUCUGAAUGAUAAAUUGGAUUGGGUCUAAAAGUAAACAAGGGAGCAAUUAAAUUGUCAACUUGCAUAUGUCAACAAAUUAUUAAAUUGCACAUGUCAACAGCAAAUGGUUAAACCUGCUUAUACGUUUGCUUUGGACAAAAGCAUCUGCCAAAUGGACAUUCAUUAUUACCUUCUUUUUCGUUUUAGGGCAUGGUGGCUCUCCUCCUCAGACUGGAUGUCAGUGGUGUCGCAAUCUUUAUUUACAUAUCGUUCCAGGCUCCUCACUGCCUCAUCAUGACUAUCUACAAACAUAGAAUAACAGAAGUACAGUCAGAGUCAGGAGAAAUAUUUCAGACAGGGCAAAAAAAAUGAUUGAUUGUUAAUUAUGAUUCUUAUUGUCAAAAGCAAAUUUGAGAACACCCACCACGAGUUAUGAGGAGACGGAUUGGUUGGUAUGUGUGCCAUCCAUGUCCAGGCUGUUCUUGCUUCAGGAUGGCUGCAUUCAGCCUAAUAGAGUCCUUAGGAGGGUAUGGGGGCCAGAAGACUUUAUCCCCUUCGACCCAUGUGUUUGGCACAAUUUCAUUUGCACCACUGCUAAACUGUACAACGCACCACUGGGUCAUUUUUUUUUUUUUUUUAAAGGCAGGGGAUUUGAAAGACUGUAUAGAAAACAAAGCACACCAAAAUUAACUUAUGAAGUGAUAAACAGAUGAACUGAGUGCAUAAACUGAUUAUAGGAACUGAUUUGGACAUUUUGGACAUUUUAAUUGAUAUGAAUGAUGGGAAUGGCAAUGAACUGUGUUUU